UCAAGCGUUUAAGGGCGUCUGGUGAAUGCCUUGGCACUGAAAGUCGAUGAAGGACGUGAUAUACUGCGAUAAGUUUCGGGGAGUUGUAUGUAAACUUUGAUCCGAAAAUUUCCGAAUGGGAAAACCCAACUCUUUAAGAGUUAUUUCAAACUGAAUACAUAGGUUUGAAAAGGCAACCUAGGGAACUGAAACAUCUAAGUACCUAGAGGAAAAGAAAUCAAUUGAGAUUCCGUCAGUAGUGGCGAGCGAACGCGGAACAGGCCUGUAGUUUUAUUUGUACAACUAGAAAAACCUGGAAAGGUUUGCCAUAGAGGGUGAUAGCCCCGUAAAGGUAAAAGCAAAUAAGAUUCUUGAGUAAAGCGGGACACGAGAAAUCCUGCUUGAAGAUAGGGGGACCACCCUCUAAGCCUAAAUACUCUUCAGUGACCGAUAGUGAACUAGUACCGUGAGGGAAAGGUGAAAAGAACCCCUAUUAGGGGAGUGAAAUAGAACCUGAAACCGGAUGCCUACAAUCAGUCGGAGCUCUAUAUGAGUGACGACGUACCUUUUGUAUAAUGGGUCAGUGACUUUAUCUGUGCAGCAAGCUUAAGCCGAAAAGGUGUAGGCGUAGCGAAAGCGAGUCUGAAUAGGGCGAUGAGUUGUACGGAUAAGAACCCGAAACCUAGUGAUCUAGUUAUGAGCAGGUUGAAGGUAAGGUAACACUUACUGGAGGACCGAACCGGUGCCUGUUGAAAAAGGCUCGGAUGACUUGUGAUUAGGGGUGAAAGGCCAAUCAAACUGGGAGAUAGCUGGUUUUCCGCGAAAACUAUUUAGGUAGUGCGUUGAAUAAUAAGAUCUUGAGGGGUAGAGCACUAAAUAGGCUAGGGGGAAGAAAUUCUUACUAAACCUAAUAAAACUCCGAAUACUCAAGAUUGUUUCUCAAUAGACAGACGGUGGGAGCUAACUUCCAUCGUCGAGAGGGAAAAAACCCAGACCACCAUCUAAGGUCCCAAAAUCGUAGUUAAGUGUGAAAGGAUGUGAAGACUCCAAAACAGCCGGGAGGUUGGCUUAGAAGCAGCCAUCCUUUAAAGAAAGCGUAACAGCUCACCGGUCUAAUUAAGAGACUUUGCGCCGAAGAUGUAACGGGGCUCAAACUACGUACCGAAGUUGUGGAUUUAAAGUGUCUACGGACAUUUUAUCUGGUAGCGGAACGUUCUGUAAGUCUGCGAAGGGAUACCCGCGAGGGGUCCUGGAGAUAUCAGAAGUGCGAAUGCUGACAUAAGUAGCGACAAACAGAGUGAAAGACUCUGUCGCCGAAAAUACAAGGGUUCCUGCGUAAAGUUAAUCUUCGCAGGGUUAGUCGGCCCCUAAGGCGAGGGCGAAAGCCGUAGUCGAUGGGAACAAGGUAAAUAUUCCUUGACCUGAUGGUAGUGACGGAUCUCGUAUAUUGUAAGUUCUUAUUGGAUUGAACUUGCCUUGAAGAGGUCCCAGGAAAUAACUCCAUCAUUAAGACCGUACCCUAAACGGACACACGUGUAUUGGUAGAGAAUACCUAGGCGCUUGAGAGAAUGAUGUUGAAGGAACUCGGCAACUUGCCUCUGUAACUUCGGGAUAAAGAGGGCCUUAUUUUGCGCAAGCAGAGUAAGGUGGCACAAGCCAGGGAGUAGCGACUGUUUAACAAAAACACAGGACUCUGCUAACACGUAAGUGGAUGUAUAGGGUCUGACGCCUGCCCGGUGCCGGAAGGUUAAAGCAAGAUGUGCAAGCAUCGAACUGAAGCCCCGGUGAACGGCGGCCGUAACUAUAACGGUCCUAAGGUAGCGAAAUUCCUUGUCGGGUAAGUUCCGACCUGCAUGAAUGGCGUAACGACUGCUCCGGUGUCUCCAACAUCAACUCAGCGAAAUUGAAUUCUCCGUGAAGAUGCGGAGUUCCCGUGGUUAGACGGAAAGACCCCGUGCACCUUUACUACAACUUUACAUUGGUAUUAGAAAUGACAUGUGUAGCAUAGGAGGGAGACUUUGAAGUGGGGGCGCAAGCUUCCAUGGAGUCGUCAGUGAAAUACCUCUCUUGUUAUUUUUGAUAUCUAACUCCAUGCCGUCAUCCGGCUGGAAGACACUGUAUGGUGGGUAGUUGACUGGGG
rnacentral:rRNA from 1 species